rnacentral:rRNA from 1 species
AUUGAACGCUGGCGGGAUGCCUUACACAUGCAAGUCGAACGGAGUGGCGAACGGGUGAGUAAUGUAUCGUAAGGUACCCGGUAGCGGGAGAUAACUAAGAGAAGGAAUAGCUAAUACCACAUACUUUUGAAGCGGCCGAUAUCGGCUUAGCUGGGUGGUGGGGUAACGGAUCACCAAGGCGACGAUCCGUAGCUGGUUUGAGGGGACGACCAGCCACACUGGGACUGAGACACGGCCCAGACUCCUACGUGAGGCAGCAGUGGGGAAUGUUGUACAAUGGGGGAAACCCUGACCCAGCCAUGCCGCGUGUGUGAUGAAGGCCUUCGGGUUGUAAAGCACUUUUGGCAGGAAAGCGGUACCUGCAGAAUAAGCACCGGCUAACUACGUGCCAGCAGCCGCGGUAAUUC